rnacentral:lncRNA from 1 species
UUUUGUUGCAACUCAAAUGCUUUACUAAAAAUUAUAUAUCAUUGCUAAUAUAUUAAUAGAAAGAGAGAGAGAGAGUUGAGCUAGAAUACUUCUAAAAGGCAUCAAGGGUUGAUGCUUUAGUUUCUAUAUAGCCCUUAGAUCCAAACCUAGCUUGACUACUAGUAGCCUUUAGAUCAAAUACUAUUCCACCGGCCGCCAUCUACUACUACUCAAUCCAAGUGAGCUACUAUCAUCCUAGCCUUAUAAUACCUCCAUCCAAGAGCUAUAAAUCUAAAAGCACCAACCACUUGGUGCUUUUAGAUGUAUGAUAUAUAUAUAUAUAUAUAUAUAGAGAGAGAGAGAGAGAGAGAGAGAGAGAGAGAGAGAGAGAGAGAGAGAGAGAGAGUUGAGCUAGAAUACUAUCGAUAGCAAACGGGCGUCAUUACUACCAAUUUGUUUUCGAUGAUAGUGCCUCCAAAUCGACGAUCGGUACCGUUGAACAUGAUACCACUCAAAGUGUUUAGAAAUCAAAUUUCAAAUCUUUUCGGCAUCAUUUACCUAAUGAUCAAAGAGUUUCAAAAUUUAUAAUUUUAAUGGUUGAUAUGAAGCGUUUUCUCGUUUAACGGCGUAAAGAUAUCCAAAUCAAUUGAAUUUUUGUUAGAAAAUUCUUUAAACUAUUUAAAACAAGAUCUAUACUCUUGAUCUUGAUUACAAGAUCCUAUCAUCAUUUUUUAAAGAAUAUUCAUUUUCAGCCGUUCAUUUUUGUGUCCACUUGAUGGAUAAGAGAACAAAAUCGAAAAUGUAUAAAAUUUUAUUUCUAAAAACUUCAAGUGGUAUAGAUCAUAUUCAACGGUGCCGAUCGUCGAUUUGAAAGCUCUAUCAUCGAAAACAAAAGGGUGGCAAUGGAGCCAGUUUGCUAUCGAUAGUAUUCUAGCUCAACUCU